rnacentral:rRNA from 1 species
AUUGAACGCUGGCGGCGUGCCUAACACAUGCAAGUCGAUCGGUAACAGGUGUAGCAAUACAUGCUGACGAGAGGCGGACGGGUGAGUAACGCUUGGGAAUCUGCCUUUUAGUGGGGGACAACCCGGGGAAACUCGGGCUAAUACCGCAUACGCUCUACGGAGGAAAGCCGGGGACCGCAAGGCCUGGCGCUAAUAGAUGAGCCCAAGUCGGAUUAGCUAGUUGGUAGGGUAACGGCCUACCAAGGCGACGACGGGUAGCCGGCCUGAGAGGGCGACCGGCCACACUGGGACUGAGACACGGCCCAGACUCCUACGGGAGGCAGCAGUGGGGAAUCUUGCGCAAUGGGCGAAAGCCUGACGCAGCGACGCCGCGUGAGGGAUGACGGCCUCGG